GAAGUGCUCAUGGAUGUUUUUGAGACUGGGUCUCCGUCUGUCACCCAGGCAGGAAUGCAGUGGUGCCAUCACGGCUAACUGCAGCCUCGACCUCCUGGGCUCACACGAUCCUCCUGCCUCAGCCUCCUGAGUAGCUGGGACCACAGAUUCUUCCUAUUUUGCUCCCGACUGAUUUGAUCCUGCUGUGUGUCUCCUACUCCUUUGCGUCUACCUCCUCAUGGGUUCAGAUGCUUUGUGAUUCUGCACCUGCCUUCUCUCUCUGUGCCGUUCCUCUUCCAUCUCUCUUCCAUCUGUAUGUCUUGCUUUAAAACUCCCAAGGAAAAAAGAAGAAAAGUCGGCUUUGGUCAUUUGUCAAUAUUCAGUAGUGUGUGCCUUUGUUGAGCAGAGCUCAACUGCAUCAGCCCCUCUCUUGCACACCUAUAGAGGGACGCCUUAUUUUGGUUAAGUAGCCAUCUCUGGUUCAAGUAUCUGUGCCUAGGGAGGCAGGUCCAAUGGUACAAAGCAUAGCAACCUAUACAUUCAGAAACUCUGGGGAGGGAAGUGUGGAUUUGGCAGAGACCUUACUGCUCAUCUGAUAUAGUUACCCCAAAUCCUAAUGAGGUUGUUUGAGCCUAGUGUUAGGCCAUUCCAACACAGUUUCUAGGCCAACAGUUGGAACUCUGUGGUAAACUCACCGGUUUAUUACCAUCCCCCUCCCUGGUAGUGCUAGUGAUUCAUGUCAUGGUGGUCGGCUGUGGUGGAGAUUGCAUAGUCUAAUUCUGUUUCCUCUCCUCCUGAGCACAUAGCUAUACUGUAAUUCCCAGAUUCUCUUGCAGAUAGAGGGGAGCUGGGAAUUAUGGUCUAGCUAGACCAUGUGACCUAGUUUUUACCAAUGAAAUGUGGAUGGAGGUAAUGGGUGCUACUUCUAGGCCCGGUCCAUGGAAACCUCCCACGUGGGAGGUGCUUUUCCCUUUACAGCUUGAUAUAUACAGUAUAGUGACAUUGGAAGCCAUAUGUUGAAAAUUAUGGAACCACAAGAUGGAAGGAGCUGGGUCCCUGAAUGAGUUGUCGGAGGAAAGCCAUCCACCGAUCAGGAAAAUCCAUUUUGGAUUUUAUGUGAGCCGUCUCCAUGACUAUUGUGUUAAGCCACUGGAGGCUGGAGUUUGUUACAGCAGUGGCUGUUAUCCUCACAUAGUGGCAUUAUUGAUUUUGCUCCACAGGGACCCAAGGAAGGCUUUGGGCUCCUUAGGUAUCUUGGUGAGCACUGUCCCAGGCGGAAGUUGGUUAACAGGAUGGCCCCCUUCAGGGAGGGCUGAUGGGGUAUGGGAGAGCGACCAUCGCUUUGCUACUCCUGAUAAGCAUGACAUAAAGAAUGUCUCUCUUUAAGCCUUCCUCCCCGAAUCCCAAGCUGUGGAUAUCAAUACAUUUGUAUAGAUUCAUGCGAGAGUUCCAGAGUAUUCUGAAACUGCCUCUGAAUUUAUUUGCAGAAAGGUAGGGGUUAGUAACUAGUGAUACCACUUUAUGCACAGAGCAAGUAAACUCCAUCUUUACCAUGGCCAACUGUAGCAAUAGAGUUCAGUGUUUUCUAUAUCACAGAUAGAAGAAGUAACAAAACUUCAUCCAUUUCAUCUUCAUAUAUAGUAAGGCGAGGUGUCUGAGAGGCAGGGGUGAGAAAGACAAGACUGGCAUGCAUGGUAUUGAAAUGGCUGUGAAAGGGAGAAGAUUUGCUUAUAGUAGCAGGGCCCAGGUAGCAUGGGAAUUCAUUACUUUUAUCUUUAAAGGGGUUAGAAACAAGUGUUCAGAGGUGCCAUGCAGUAAUGAAACCAGUCCAGGAGCCAGGCUGUAAGUGCUGUAAUUCAAGUAAGCUUUUGGUUAAUUUAAAGGGAUGGUAGUUACACCAGCUCCUAACCCAUCGCCAUCUUCUGUUUCAUGUUUUUGAUUACUGAGAAGUGACACUCAAAUGUUUAUUUUUUCUUAAAACUACUGAGUACAUUUUGUAACAGCUCCAGUUUCUACUGAGAGCUCAUUUAUGCCAUAUUUCCUUUGCUCACAUAACUCUAAGAGUACUUCUGUUUUUUACUGAAAGCUUGUAUUUCUGUCUCUGCUAAGUUAUAAACUUACUGAUGACAAAAUGUAUUUAUUAUUUGAGUUCUGUAACGCAUACAACAUUGCCUUUUCUCUAUAUACAGUGUGAUAAUAUUAGCUGGGGGUAUGUAACUAGUUGUGUGGUGUUAUUAGGAAAUGAAUCUGUAAAGGUGGGCUGGGGCCAUUCAGUGAAUGAUCUUGUCUGUUGCUCUAGGAUCCUGGAUUUCAUUGUGUAAGCAAUACAAAUCCAUAAAUGCUGAGAAGGGAUAAGAUGAGAUUUGGGCUUUUAGAAAGAAAACCCUAGCCAGGUGUGGUGGUGCACGCCUGCUGUCCCAGCUACCCAGGAGGCUGAGACGGAAGAUUGCUUGAGCUUGGGAGUUCGAGACCAGCCUGAGCAACAUUUCAGGAUUAAAAAAAAAAAAACAAAAACCCAAAAAAGAAAGCAAACUCUAGCUUUAGGAUGGUAGAUCCAUUGGCGUGCGGACCAGAGCAGUAGUUCUUAAUCCUGGGUGAGCUUCAGAGCGGCCUCACAGCACGGCUAGUCCGGUACUGCAUGCGAAGGAGCAGCACAGAGCUGGCACACGGCGGGCUCUCCAACCCAACUGGACCUGGUGACCUUUAUGAACCCGCAGCCCAAAGCCAGGCAGAAUCAAGGAGGUCUCCACAGGUGCCGGUGUGGGUAGCUUAUGGGCCUUAGCCACACCCUGGCAAGUAACUAUCCCUUUUCAUAACAAAGCUUUCCUGGGCACUUACCCUGCCAACUGUAUUCUGCCGAGUUCUCCUCUCCCGGAGGCAGUGAGCAUGGAAUGCCCUUGUCUACGUUGGGAAAAGGAUAUAAAGGAUUAUGGAUGAAAUACCUUCUCCCACAAACGCCUUCUAUAUAAAACAAAAC
rnacentral:lncRNA from 1 species